CAGUCGCCGCGGUAAAACGGAGGGUGCAAGCGUUAAUCGGAAUUACUGGGCGUAAAGCGCACGCAGGCGGUCUGACAAGUCAGAUGUGAAAUCCCCGGGCUUAACCUGGGAACUGCAUUUGAAACUGUCAGGCUGGAGUCUUGUAGAGGGGGGUAGAAUUCCAGGUGUAGCGGUGAAAUGCGUAGAGAUCUGGAGGAAUACCGGUGGCGAAGGCGGCCCCCUGGACAAAGACUGACGCUCAGGUGCGAAAGCGUGGGGAGCAAACAGGAUUAGAUACCCGUGUAGUCCCUGUCUCUUAUAC
rnacentral:rRNA from 1 species